rnacentral:rRNA from 1 species
CUACGGGCCGCAGCAGUGGGGAAUAUUGGGCAAUGGGCGCAAGCCUGACCCAGCAACGCCGCGUGAGGGGAGAAUGUCUUCGGAUUGUAAACCUCUGUCCUUAGGGACGAAAAAAAUGACGGUACCUAAGGAGGAAGCUCCGGCUAACUACGUGCCAGCAGCCGCGGUAAUACGUAGGGAGCAAGCGUUGUCCGGAAUUAUUGGGCGUAAAGGGUGCGUAGGCGGUAAUCCAAGUCAGAUGUGAAAGACCCGGGCUUAACUCGGGAGGUGCAUUUGAAACUGGGUUACUUGAGUACAGGAGAGGUAAGUGGAAUUCCUAGUGUAGCGGUGAAAUGCGUAGAUAUUAGGAGGAACACCAGUGGCGAAGGCGACUUACUGGACUGUCACUGACGCUGAGGCACGAAAGCGUGGGGAGCAAACAGGAUUAGAUACCCGAGUAGUC